rnacentral:rRNA from 1 species
AUGGUCCCUUUACAGAGGACGCCGGGUUGUUGGGUGGAAGAGUUGCCUUCCGUUUUAUGGAGCAUUAACACCACCCCCAAUAGAUCUACGGAUUACACACCCUUCUUCAUGGUUCAUGGAGCAGAAGAAGUUCUCCCAAGUGAUAUUCUUCAUGACUCGUCCCGAGUGGCAGCUUAUGUUGAAGCGGACAAUGAAAAAGCACGCCAGGAUGCAUUCGACCUGUUAGAUGAACAACGGGAUAUUGUGGCAGCUCGCUCGGCGAUUUAUCAGCAAGACCUGCGGCGUUAUCACAGCCGCUGGGUUAAAACCAGAGCUUUUCAGGAAGGCGACUUAGUGCUCCGGCUUAUCCAGGAUCAGACGGAUAUGCACAAGUUAUCCCCACCUUGGGAAGGGCCCUUUGUGGUCAGCAAGAAUCUGAACAACGGGUCAUACUACCUCAUCGAUGUUCGAGAGCACAAGGACUCACGCAAGUCGGAGGAGGAGACUCGUCGGCCGUGGAAUAUAGCUCAUCUUCGACCUUACUACACCUGA